rnacentral:rRNA from 1 species
GCUUAAGAAUAUAAUUUGUUCUAAAAAUAAAUUCAUUUAAAAAUUUAAGAAUAAAAAAUUAAACAAUUUAAUUUAAUUUAAUAUAAUAAAAUUUGGUUGAUAAUAGUGCCAGAAUCCUCGGUAAUACUUUAAAAUUUACAAUAAAAUCUUUAAUUUAAUGUUAAAAACUAAAAUUAGAUUUAAAAAUAAUUAGUAAAACAUAUAUUAUUUUUAGAAAUUUUUAACUAAAAUAAAUAAUAAAAAUAACUUGGAUUAGAUACCCAACUAAUAUUAAUUAAACUUAUUAAAGAACUUAUUUAAAAUUAAAACCUAAUUUAGCUGGCAAAACUUAAAUUAUUUGGGAAUUUUGAAAGUAAACGAUAACCCUCGUUAAAUUUAUUUUAUUUUAUUCUAGUAUAGCCGAAUAAAAAUAAUUUAAUUUUUACAAAAAUCUAUUUAAAUUUCAGGUCUUUAUAAGAUAAAAAUAAAUUUUUUAAAGUUUAAUUUUUAAAAAAAGAAAUAAUUAAAUUAAAUUUUAAUUAAUAUAAAACUAAAAAGUAAAAUUUAUAAAAUAAAAUAAUUUGAAUAUUUAUAUUAAGUUGGUACAAAUUACCCGUCACCUGAAUUUUAUAAUUGAGUAAGUCGUAGUAUAGUAAGUUUAUUGGAAGAUGAACUUAAUCUAA